UUGUCUAGGAAGGUUUCUAAUGCCAUU
rnacentral:sRNA from 1 species